rnacentral:rRNA from 1 species
UACAGAGGGGGCAAGCGUUGUUCGGAAUUACUGGGCGUAAAGGGCGCGUAGGCGGCCUUCUAAGUCGAACGUGAAAUCCCCGGGCUCAACCCGGGAACUGCGUCCGAUACUGGGAGGCUUGAAUCCGGGAGAGGGAUGUGGAAUUCCAGGUGUAGCGGUGAAAUGCGUAGAUAUCUGGAGGAACACCGAUGGCGAAGGCAAUCCCCUGGGCCUGCACUGACGCUCAUGCACGAAAGCGUGGGGAGCAAACAGG